UCUGGUACCCAUAGCGUCUUGGAACCACCCCUUCCCAUCCCGAACAGGACCGUGAAACGAGACCGCGCCGAUGAUAUUACGUACUACGCGUGAGAAAGUAGGUCAGUGCCAGAC
rnacentral:rRNA from 1 species